rnacentral:piRNA from 1 species
UGGUUAAGAUGUCUCAUUCAAGGAGA